AUGACGGAGUUGUUGAAGAAGGACACCAAAUUCAAAUGGACUGAAGAAUGUGAAGCCAGUUUCCAGGAGUUGAAGAAAUGUUUGGUUACAUCACUGGUGUUGAUUCUGCCAGAUCAGCGCAAGGAUUAUGAAGUAUAUUGCGACGCUUCUCGUCGACGACUUGGAGUAGUGCUUAUGCUAGAAGCAAGAGUUGUUUCAUAUGCCUCACGACAACUUAAGCCCCAUGAGUUGAAUUAUGCUACACAUGAUUUGGAAUUAGUAGCUGUAGUGCAUGCAUUGAAGACAUGGAGACAUUUUCUCAUCGCAACCAUUGUGAGGUGUACAUGGAUCACAAAAGGUUGA
rnacentral:rRNA from 1 species